UACGUAGGUGGCGAGCGUUAUCCGGAUUUAUUGGGUUUAAAGGGUGCGUAGGCGGACUGUCAAGUCAGCGGUAAAAUACGGGGGCUCAACCUCCGCCCGCCGUUGAAACUGGCUGGCUUGAGUUGGGGAAAGGCAGGCGGAAUGCGCGGUGUAGCGGUGAAAUGCAUAGAUAUCACGCAGAACUCCGAUUGCGAAGGCAGCAUACCGGCGCCCAACUGACGCUGAAGCACGAAAGCGUGGGUAUCGAACAGG
rnacentral:rRNA from 1 species